rnacentral:lncRNA from 1 species
AAAAGCAUGGGUAUUGAGCACGUGUUUAACAUGUAUAAUCAGAUAUUUGUUUAUUUCGAUGACAGAUCCAUGCGUAUUGUGGUCACCGGAUUUUUACGAGGAGGGUUACGCUCGGGUCACUAUGCAUACGGAAAAUAUGUCGGCGAAUUGCUUCCUGGAAGCAAGCAAUUAAAAAUAAGUAAACUUCUUCUAAAUGUGGACA